rfam:Biomphalaria glabrata isolate BB02 unplaced genomic scaffold LGTN_random_Scaffold191, whole genome shotgun sequence.
GGUGCCGUAGCCAAGUGGUUUAAGGCCGUGGACUGCAACUCCACUAUCGUGAGUUCGAAUCUGACCGGCACCU